ACAUGUGAAAGUCGUAUUGACACGUUAUUUUUGUUGCAAAUAACAUUGAUCAUUUUAUUGAUUAAGUUUAAAACAAGGCAGAUGCAGAAAGUCAUUAUAUUUCAAAACAACCAGCAUUCAAAUACUUCAUUUCAUGAAAAAUAAAAACAAUUAAAUAAAGAAGAAUAGAAAAAGAAACUAACUAGUGUGAGAGUCUGUUAGUCAUCAUUUUUGUCAGAAUCCAGUUGUAGAUUUGUACUUCUUUCAUCGUGUACGUGUCUGUGUUGGUCUGUGUGUGUGUGUGUGUGUGUGUGUGUGUGUGUGUGUGUGUGUGUGUGUGUGACCUUAGAGGAUCACAGGACAUCUAAUUAAAAGUGUGUGUGAACAGUUAAGACUGAUGUGUGUUGAGACGUUACUUUCUAUUUUUCCUUGUUCUAUCACACUGGAUGGACAUUUUGGACACAACUCCACCAUCACACACACACACACACACACACACACACACACACGUUCAAUGUUGACCCAGUUGUGUGUAAGGAGGCCACUUGUGACAUGGUGUAACUGCCAAAAAAAUGAGUCAAUUACUUUGACAGGCAGCACAGACCACCAAUCACAGAAUAGCUGGGUGAUGCGGUGAAGCCCCGCCCACAAAACUGUCCAAUUCUGAUAAGGUGAAAAGAGAGAGAGAGAGAGAAAGAAAGACAGAGAGAGAAAGAGGGCAUGACUGGGAGAGAGAUUGAACAAAAGAGAGACCGAGACAGACAGAAAUCAAAUUCUGAUAAGGUGAAAAGAGAGAGAGAGAGAGAGAGAGAGAGAGAAGCAAAAACAAAGACAGAGAGAGAGAAAGAAAGGAGAGAACCAGACAGAUCAUCAAAGAGAGAGAAUGAAGGAGAGAGAAACAAAUAGACAGACUGACAGAGAGAGAAACAUAACCAGAGAGAGAGAGCGAGCUGUACAUAGACUUUUAAAUAGAACAGAGUGAUAGAAAAAGGGGGAGCGAGAGAUAGAUGCAGAGAAAGACUUAAAAAAAAAAAAAAAAAAAGGGAAUAUAAUAUUCACCAACAUUAUCGUAUAAAUGGUUGACAGAGUUGACGUAAAGUCGAUGGCACCCUUGGCAUUAAAGGCACGAUGCGGUAAAAUCCCCUGAGGUGCCAAAAAGCCCUGCGCGAUACCCAACACACACACACACACACACACACACACACACACACACACACACACACACACACACACAGGAGUGUGUAUCUUAUAACAACACUUUAUUUUAUGGGGACUAAGCACUGUCAAAAACAUCCUACUUCAUGUUUUUCAUAAUUCAGUCCCCACAAAGAGCUAAAUACAUGUUCACAGUAUUACAGUAGUGAGUGUGAACACAACUGCACUCCAAACAACUGUCUCAGUACUGUAGAAGAGUGUUGGGU
ensembl:lncRNA